rnacentral:rRNA from 1 species
UGAACGCUGGCGGCGUGCUUAACACAUGCAAGUCGAACGGGGUGCCUUCCGGAGUCCUUCGGGAGAAGGGGUGGCACCUAGUGGCGGACGGGUGAGUAACGCGUGGGUAACCUGCCCUGUACAGGGGGAUAACAGCCAGAAAUGGCUGCUAAUACCGCAUGAGCGCACGAGAGGGACAUCCCUCGGUGUGAAAAACUCCGGUGGUACAGGAUGGGCCCGCGUCUGAUUAGCUUGUUGGCGGGGUAACGGCCACCAAGGCGACGAUCAGUAGCCGGUCUGAGAGGAUGAACGGCCACAUUGGAACUGAGACACGGUCCAAACUCCUACGGGAGGCAGCAGUGGGGAAUAUUGCACAAUGGGGGGAACCCUGAUGCAGCAAACCGCCGCGUGAGUGAAGAGGUAUUUCGGUAUGUAAAGCUCUAUCAGCAGGGAAGAUAAUGACGGUACCUGACCAAGAAGCUCCGGCUAAAUACGUGCCAGCAGCAGC